rnacentral:rRNA from 1 species
CGGGGGAGCAAGCGUUGUUCGGAUUUACUGGGCGUAAAGGGCGCGUAGGCGGUCGUGACAAGUCACUUGUGAAAUCUCCGGGCUUAACUCGGAACGGUCAAGUGAUACUGUCGGACUAGAGUACAGAAGGGGCAACUGGAAUUCUCGGUGUAGCGGUGAAAUGCGUAGAUAUCGAGAGGAACACCUGCGGCGAAGGCGGGUUGCUGGGCUGAUACUGACGCUGAGGCGCGAAAGCCAGGGGAGCGAACGGGAUUAGAUACCCCGGUAGUCCUGGCCUUAAACGAUGAAUGCUUGGUGUCUCGGGUUAUAAAGUCCCGGGGUGCCGUCGCUAACGCUUUUAGCAUUCCGCCUGGGGAGUACGGUCGCAAGACUG